UGGGGAAUAUUGCACAAUGGGGGAAACCCUGAUGCAGCGACGCCGCGUGAGCGAUGAAGGCUUUCGAGUCGUAAAGCUCUGUCCUAUGGGAAGAUAAUGACGGUACCAUAGAAGAAAGCCCCGGCUAAUUACGUGCCAGCAGCCGCGGUAAUACGUAAGGGGCGAGCGUUGUCCGGAAUUAUUGGGCGUAAAGAGUGCGUAGGCGGCAAAUUAAGUCAGAUGUGAAAACUAAGGGCUCAACCCAUAGAUUGCAUCUGAAACUGAUAUGCUUGAGUCAAGGAGAGGAAGGUGGAAUUCCUAGUGUAGCGGUGGAAUGCGUAGAUAUUAGGAGGAAUACCGGUGGCGAAGGCGACUAUCUGGACUUGAACUGACGCUGAGGCACGAAAGCGUGGGGAGCAAACAGG
rnacentral:rRNA from 1 species